rnacentral:lncRNA from 1 species
UUGGUUUUAUUUCGUUAACUAGCUGUUUAUCUGACAUAAAUCAGACAUCGCCUUCCAUUCAUACUUAAUGUACGACCUUAUUCAACCCGUUUUGAUUCAAGUAAACUACCCCGGUAUUCUUGUUGUUGCCCUUAACAUAUUUGUGUUAUUCUUGUCGUUACGUUGCUGUUUCAUUGACUUACACCCGACUCUCCUUGGUCGACACACCCGUUUUUAACCCCGUUUUGAGUUCAAGUGGACUCUUUAUUAUGUAACCUUUUAUAUAUUUGUGUUAUUCUUGUCGUUAAGUUGCUAAUUCAUUGACUUAUACCCGACUCUCCUUGGUCGACACACCCGUUUUUAACCCCGUUUUGAGUUCAAGUGGACUUCUUAUUAUGUAACCUUUAAUAUAUUUGUGUUAUUCUUGUCGUUAAGUUGCUAAUUCAUUGUCGUAUAUCUGAUAUUUCCUUUCAUUCAUGCUAGGUCUACGCACCUUGAUUCACCUCAGUUCAAUUACGUAAUUUCAUGUUGCCCUUAUAUAUGGGCAAAUAAUUUGGAAAAUAGAAUUUAUCUUAUCUUAUCUAAUCUUAUUAUGUAUUAGUGUUGUGUCUGUUCUUGAGUUGCUGUUUCAUUUACAUACACCCGACUUCUCUUUUAUUUAUAUUGACCGACGAGUUAUAGUUUCACUCCCUUUUGAGUCAAACAGACUAUUUCUCUGCGAAUAUAAAGAAACUGGAAUAAUUAUUUUCAAAAUGACUCGACACAAACUGACCCCAAGUUUUAUCUGUUAUAAAACUGAAAAAGAGCUUUAUGUAAUUCAAUCAUAAACUAGAUCAGAAUUAUUAACAUCGGAACUGCAUAGGAAUUGAUGUGUCACGUGAUUUAUGUGAAAAUCAUCCACCGAUCAGCUGAUUAAAUCAGGGAUGUAUUUAUGCAACAGAAAUAAUAGUGCAAUCAGGAG